rnacentral:rRNA from 1 species
GCCUACUGCCAUACCACCCUGAAAGCGCCCGAUCUCGGAAGCUAAGAAGGGACGUGCCUGGUUAGUACCUGGAUGGGAGACCGCCUGGGAAUACCAGGUGUUGUAGGCU